rnacentral:sRNA from 1 species
AGUCCAUUUACUGGCCUUUAAUCUACCUGCACUGGCUGCCCAGGACCUCUCUACUGCUCUCUCUUCACUCAUCCUGCUGCUGCCCCACUGGCCUCCUGACUGGGCCUCAGGUAUGUCAGUUAUUCUCCCAUUCGGCUUCUUGAAGUAUGUGUACCACUCCCCAAAAUAUUCAUUAAGCGUCAGGCCCCAUUAAAAGUGUCCCUUCUUCAGGAUCUGAAGGACUUCUUUCAAAAAGUUUCACAGGUAUAUCUUGCCAUUGAUGAAAGACUUGCAUCUUUGAAAACUGAUACAUUUAGUAAAACAAGAGAGGAAAAAAUGGAAGAUAUUUUUGCACAGAAAGAGAUGGAAGAAGGUGAGUUCAAGAACUGGAUUGAGAAGAUGCAAGCAAGGCUCAUGUCUUCCUCUGUAGAUACCCCUCAGCAACUGCAGUCGGUCUUUGAGUCACUCAUUGCCAAGAAACAAAGUCUCUGUGAAGUGCUGCAAGCUUGGAAUAACAGGUUGCAGGACCUUUUCCAACAGGAAAAG